AGUGAACGCUGGCGGUAGGCCUAACACAUGCAAGUCGAACGGCAGCACAGUAAGAGCUUGCUCUUACGGGUGGCGAGUGGCGGACGGGUGAGGAAUACAUCGGAAUCUACUUUUUCGUGGGGGAUAACGUAGGGAAACUUACGCUAAUACCGCAUACGACCUACGGGUGAAAGCAGGGGAUCUUCGGACCUUGCGCGAUUGAAUGAGCCGAUGUGGGAUUAGCUAGUUGGCGGGGUAAAGGCCCACCAAGGCGACGAUCCGUAGCUGGUCUGAGUGGAUGGUCGCCCACACUGGAACUGAGACACGGUCCAGACGCCUACGGGAGGCAGCAGUGGGGAAUAUUGGACAAUGGGCGCAAGCCUGAUCCAGCCAUACCGCGUGGGUGAAGAAGGCCUUCGGGUUGUAAAGCCCUUUUGUUGGGAAAGAAAAGCAGCAGGUUAAUACCCCGCUGUUCUGACGGUACCCAAAGAAUAAGCACCGGCUAACUUCGUG
rnacentral:rRNA from 1 species